rnacentral:lncRNA from 13 species
GGCGCGCCCUUCUCAAAUUGAACAGUAAUCUGUGCCACCUGGUCAUUUUGUCAAGGCAGCACCAUGGUGCAUCGUCCAGAAACGUACACCAUCUAUUUUCCAUAAAAUAAAUAUUUCAAUUUUCUAACUAUUUUUCAUUGGGAAGACAGAUAGAGCAAUCACUUUUGCAUGGGAAACACAGAAUCCUAUUAAUUACACACGUGAUUAAUUACGUUACUUUGGUUUUAAGCCGUAAUCGCAGUGGGCUUUGAAUAGAAUGCAAUCAACUUUCAACCGAUGCAAAACACAGCUACAAGGGCGCCCGGGUGAGAUUAAUCGAACACCCUCAAUGUUCCACGAUCAUCCGGAAGAACUGCCUAUGAACGCGCACUUUGGAUGCGACACAACUAUGCCGGGUUACUCAGAGAGAAGGACAUCAUUGAACAAUCAGUGAUUGCUUAUAAAGGCUGAAAAACGAAAUGAAUGGUAAGUGCCGCAACUUGAGGAUCAUUAUCCUUAGCAAUCUGUCAUAGAGUUAAAUCAUGUGUUUGAUCACAGUUUUCAUUGACGUAUGAUUGUCUUCGUGUUGGAACUAAAUAAUUACUCCCUUCAGAUUGCAUGCUUUUCGAUCUUGUCCAGGACCCGGCGGAAAUUAUCUGUGUAUAUUUUGUGACAUAUUGAAUAUCGUGUGCGUGAAAUGCAGGUCUGGCUUUUAACAGAACAAUUUACAGCAGUUGUUUUGCAUGUUUCUGUGACUAUUAUCGAAAGGAUUAAUGAAAACGUAUAAUUUCCAACAGGUCAAUCUUUACAGACCUUCCCAGUGAAAAGUAAUCUAAUGCACUGUAUUCUAUUACCUAUAUCACCUCGAGUUCAUUGGUGGUUACAUUUUACAGUCACUUUCAGCUUGAUUUUAUGUGACACCCUGGUUGCUACACUGCUUCUGGAAAGAAUCGUUCACUCCAGGCUCAUUUACGGUACAUGUAUUUUUUUUUUCACAGAAUAGAGAAUUCGCUACAGCAUACCUACAUCUUUUAUUUAAGGUAAGACUAAGUCUAUUGUCUCUUUUGUACUGUCUAACAUGUUUUGCCGUGGAAUACAGAAAUGUGAUGGCACCUGCCUUCGGUUUGGGUUGAUGUGUUGGAUUUAUGGCCUGUGAUAUUCCAUUAAAAGCUUGCUCAGCUGUUGCAGUUUUGCUACAAAAGCUCUUAUUAUAACAUCUGAAGGUAAGAUUUGAUCUUGAUAUUCAGACUGACAUCUGGUCUACUCCAAUAUAGACUGGUUAUUAAAUAGGAAAAACUUGAGUCAGGAUGGAAGGGUUAGACCAGAUACAGCUUCUGGUGUAAAUAUGAAAUUGAUGCAAACACAUUGUAGCAUCUGUGAUGUGCAUUUUGGCUGUUAUUUAGUCAGGAUCAUUAUGAGAUGGCAAUAAGACGAUAUAAGGUACUCUACAUGCUUCAAUGUUUCAAAAUUUACAGCAUAUUAUAUACAUGGAGUUUUCCAAUGGCUUUUGACGCUGUGAAACACCCAAAGGCUUACAUUAUUGGGCCUUGUAGAUAAUGGCUGAAAAGUCCUCUGGUGGAUGUGCAUUUAUUUUCUUCAACAGACACAAUACAGGCUUUACCGAGCAGUAGUAUACUGAGUGCCAUUUUAGAGAGCAAACAUAGUCUUAGUGGAUUGUGAUUUUAGGUAUA